GCCCAAGGAAGGCCAAACGAAGAGCAACCCAUCAAAGCGGCACCGGGAGCGUCUCAAUGGCGAGCUGGACACUAUAGCCUCGCUGCUGCCUUUUGAACAGAACAUCCUGAGUAAACUCGACCGUCUCUCCAUACUGCGGCUGUCGGUAUCAUACCUCAGGACCAAGAGCUGCUUUGCAGCAUUCAUCGCUGCCAGCAGCGGCGGGGGCGAUAAGGGCGACACUGGGGACUCGUCGCACCCCUCCCCCCCGCAGCCCUCGCCGUCCCGUCACAGAGAGCUUGUCACUUACGACCAUCACGUGCUCGACGGAGAGCUAUUCCUACAGGCGCUGAACGGUUUUCUUGUGAUCUUGGACUGCGAUGGAGAAGUUUUCUUUGCCACGCACAACAUCGAAACCUACCUAGGCUUCCAUCAGAGCGACAUCGUACACCAGAGCGUGUACGAGCUGGUACA